AAGUUUUUUGGGAAAAAAAAAAAAAAAAACUUGGAAUCAUAUUGAAUGUAACAAACUCAUUGUAAUUUUCAACACUAAAACUUCGUUCAUAUGAACACUAAAGAGGCAGUAGGCAGCAUCGGAAUCACCCAAAAGGCAAAAUGAAGAAAUGAAAAAGGGACAAGGACGUUUCAAACUUCAUCUAUUUAGCUGUGAGAGUAGCAACCAAAAUUUACUCUUUCCUAUAUAA
rnacentral:misc_RNA from 1 species